GAUUUACAAUAAAAAAAAAAAAAAGACGUCGUAGGAUAAAAGGGAAUAUUGUAGCCACUCUUUGAAAUAAUUUAAUAUAUACCGUAAACCAUCGCUGACGAACAAUCCAAGUCUAAGUCAUGUUCAGUCGAUAAUUUUGCUUUCACAACAAUGAUUUGGUUAAGCAAUAUACUAUAUUAAGGAACAUAUUUUGUUCUUUACAUAUACUUUUCUAAAAGAAUUACCGUUUAAAAUAAGUUUUUUUUUAAUUUGAUUCAUUUGCC